AGCUUGCUGACUGCAUUCCUGGCUGAGGGGACGCAGCAGAGCCCAAGAAUGUGAGGGGGCUUCUUUCAAGGCACCCUGUGGCAUUUCGUAUCCAUCCUACACUGGUCGGCUGAGAUGGAGGGCAUGUGACACACAAGCAGUGUCAUGAGGUCUGAAUUCACAGGAGCCCUUGUGUUGCUGAGAUGACGCCAACAAGCAAUACGCUUGUUAUUGGGCAACUAUGGCCUCUGUCUUGUGCCAUUGGCAGGCCAGUCUCUGCUCUAGCAGCUUUGGACACUUUUAAACCAGUCCCGUCAUUUGAAAAAACUCCUUGCUUGCCCUCUCACUUGCUCUCAAGUUUAGCCUUUGUACUGGGCAAUGGGCGUUUUUGAAUGUAUUCACAUGAAUCAACAUACUGGACACACAACACAGAUAUUGGAGAGCUUUGCUCUAGCAACAUGGUUGGUAGUUGGACAGAAGUGAUGGCGAGCCCGCCUGCAGCCCCUGCUUUCCAGCUGAUCUGACCAGCUGCAGGGAGUUUCGCAGUUCCUGGAUGCCCCGUUGGGCCAACUUUGAUGAAAUGUGCCCCAGCAGCAACCAAGGACUCUCUCUAACCUUGACCUCUCUCCUUUUGCUUUUCUCCCCAGCCCAAACAUUGUAACAAACCCCUAAUAAAGACUAAUUGAAUUGUAA